GUAUGUCAAUUGGUAUUGGGGAUACCUAGUCAGUUGUACAAGACUUCUCCCUUCCUACACCUGGUGAUCAGGAAACCCGUUCGAUCACCAUGCACUGCAAAAUCAUUUUGGCAUGGAUACGGAGAACAUCAACACAUUAACAUCAACACGCCAGAGGAUAUACCCAUUGGACUUGGGGCUGCUUUACACUAAAAUCGUAAUAAACACUGAGAACUAAAA